UACGUAGGGUCCGAGCGUUGUCCGGAGUUACUGGGCGUAAAGCGCGCGCAGGCGGCCGAUCAAGUCUGGCGUGAAGGCCCCCGGCUCAACCGGGGAGGGUCGUUGGAGACUGGUUGGCUUGAGGGCGGUAGGGGCUGGUGGAAUUCCCGGUGUAGUGGUGAAAUGCGUAGAGAUCGGGAGGAACACCCGUGGCGAAGGCGGCCAGCUGGGCCGACCCUGACGCUGAGGCGCGAAGGCGUGGGGAGCGAACAGG
rnacentral:rRNA from 1 species